GUUUUCUAAAAUGGACCAGACAGUCUGCAAAGAGCGUGAAGUGGGCUCCAAUGACAGCUUUUGCUCAGUGUCCAGAUGUAUCUGUGAGCUUGCUUUCUUCUCUUUUUCGACAUUUUGCCAGCCCAAUUCCUCUUGCCACGGUACAGAAUGAUUUACUUCACUGUUAACACUUCUCUGAAUGGGUAACUUUAUUGUGGGGAGUGAUGUGUCAAUUUCUCUUUUAAAAACAAGAAUUUCAAGAAAUCAAAGAUUUAGAAAGGCAACAUCACCCUGAUACACGGCCCAGUUUCCCCACUCCAAGAACAGUGACCUUCACGACUAUGACCCUGACAUACGUUAGGUUCGAUAACUGUGAGAAAGCACCUUUUAAAGUUCUAUGUGCCUUAAAAAUGACUUGCCAAGGCUGACUGCUCAUUAUUAUAACCAUAGAAAAUGUCAGCAUAAAAUAUUAUUUAAAUACAUUGCCAAAACGAUCAGUUUAGGAACCCCGGUUCAUACUUCCCCAUAAACCAUUUUCUCCCACCUGUUGGGAACUAAACAAGCAUUUCUCUAAUGCUUCGUUACUAACCAAGACAGCGUCCCCAAACAUUCUUUCUCAGGCCCUGAGAAGUCGAGUCAAAACCCCACACCAGAUGAAAAAGCAUGCUUUCUUAGGGUAUCCCCACCCCCAAACCACUCUAGGUAGGCAAGUAUUGAGAAUACGCAGAGAAUAUUCACAGUCUUGCAUUUAAAAAGA